rnacentral:rRNA from 1 species
UGAGUUAGAUGGAUCAGACCCGAAACCGAGUGAUCUAGGCAUGACCAGGAUGAAGGUAAGGUAACACUUACUGGAGGUCCGAACCCACACCUGUUGAAAAAGGUCGGGAUGAGUUGUGCCUAGGGGUGAAAGGCCAAUCAAACCCGGAGAUAGCUGGUUCUCUGCGAAAACUAUUUAGGUAGUGCGUCGUGUAUUACCGUCGGGGGUAGAGCACUGGAUGGGCUAGGGGGGCGCGAGCCUUACCAAACCUAACCAAACUCCGAAUACCGGCGAGUACAGCACGGCAGACAGACUAUGGGUGCUAAGGUCCAUAGUCGAGAGGGAAACAGCCCAGACCUCCAGCUAAGGUCCCUAAAUUGUGGCUAAGUGGGAAAGGAUGUGGGAAGGCCAAGACAGCCAGGAGGUUGGCUUAGAAGCAGCCAUCCUUUAAAG